GGUAGCGUGGCCGAGCGGUCUAAGGCGCUG
rnacentral:piRNA from 4 species